rnacentral:rRNA from 1 species
GAGCGGCGGACGGGUGAGUAACGCGUGGGAAUAUGCCCUUCUCUAAGGAAUAGCCUCUGGAAACGGAGAGUAAUACCUUAUACGCCCUUUGGGGGAAAGAUUUAUCGGAGAAGGAUUAGCCCGCGUUAGAUUAGGUAGUUGGUGGGGUAAUGGCCUACCAAGCCUACGAUCUAUAGCUGGUUUGAGAGGAUGAUCAGCCACACUGGGACUGAGACACGGCCCAGACUCCUACGGGAGGCAGCAGUAGGGAAUCUUAGACAAUGGGGGCAACCCUGAUCUAGCCAUGCCGCGUGUGUGAUGAAGGCCCUAGGGUCGUAAAGCACUUUCGCCAGAGAUGAUAAUGACAGUAUCUGGUAAAGAAACCCCGGCUAACUCCGUGCCAGCAGCCGCGGUAAUACGGAGGGGGUUAGCGUUGUUCGGAAUUACUGGGCGUAAAGCGCACGUAGGCGGAUUAGUAAGUUAGAGGUGAAAUCCCAGGGCUCAACCCUGGAACUGCCUUUAAUACUGCUAGUCUUGAGUUCGAGAGAGGUAAGUGGAAUUCCGAGUGUAGAGGUGAAAUUCGUAGAUAUUCGGAGGAACACCAGUGGCGAAGGCGGCUUACUGGCUCGAUACUGACGCUGAGGUGCGAAAGUGUGGGGAGCAAACAGGAUUAGAUACCCUGGUAGUCCACACCGUAAACGAUGAAUGCCAGACGUCAGCAAGUAUACUUGUUGGUGUCACACCUAACGGAUUAAGCAUC